rnacentral:lncRNA from 1 species
UGCCUUUAGGCAUGAUUAAAGUUGUAACUUAAGGCUUCGUUUGGUUCGGAUAUAAGUAAGAACUAGUUAUACCGAAGAUAGGUACAAGUAUGGAAUUUCGUAGGAACAAAAAUAUUUUUUUGUUUGGAUGAAAAUAUGAGUAUAAACUGGAACUAGAAAAAUUGUAUUUGGAUGAAAAAGUGAGUAUAAGGCGAAAUAGUUGUUAGUUAUAAAUAAAAAAUAAUAAUAUUACCCUUAUAAUUAAAUUUAAAUUUUUAAAUUUUAAACUUACAAUUUUAAAAUGAAAAUUAAAAAUUUUAACUUUCAAAUUUUAAAAUUUGAAAUUAAAAUUUAAAAUUUUAAUUUUCAAAAUUUUAAUUUUAAAUUUAAAACCAAAUUUAAAUUUCAAAGAUAUAAAAUAGCAAAUUUAAAAUUUAAAAACUAAAAAUAUCCAAUUUAAAAAUUAAAAUUUAAAAAUAUCAAUUUUAAAAUUUAAACUUUAAAAUUUUAAAUUAUAAAUUUAAAUUUUAAAAUUAUAAAUUCUGAAAAUUUAAAUUUAAAUUUAAAAUAAAAAUCUUUCUCUCUCUCUCUCUACCGGGGGUGGGAACAACUUGUUCUCACCCUUUGUUCCAUACCCGGGUGGGAACAAGUUGUUCCCACCCACCCAUGGAAACAACUUGUUCCCACCCCCCAAAUUUUUGUUUUGGUAUAAAGGGAGGGAUAACCCCCUUAUUUUCCCCUUUAUAUCCGAUCCAAACGCUACGUAAAGGAAUGA